GACGAACGCUGGCGGCAUGCUUAACACAUGCAAGUCGAACGGAAAGGCCCUGCUUUUGUGGGUUGCUCGAGUGGCGAACGGAUGAGUAACAAGGGAGUAACCUGCCCUGUACUUUGUGAUAGCUGCAAGAAACUGGGGCUAAUACCGGAUAUGAGCUCCUGCUGCGUGGUGGGUGUUGGAAAGUUUAGGCGGUUGGGGAUGGACUCGCGGCUUAUCAGCUUGUUGGUGUGGUAGUGGCUUACCAAGGCUUUGACGGGUAGCCGGCGUGAGAGGGUGACCGGCGACAUUGGGACUGAGAUACGGCCCAGACUCACACGGGAGGCAGCAGUGGGGAAUAUUGCACAAUGGGCGGAAGACCGAUGUAGAACAGCCGCGUGCGGGAUGACGGCCUUCGGGUUGUAAACAGCUUUCGCCUGUGACGAAGAGUGAGUGACGGUACUGGGUAAAGAAGCAACGGCUAACUACGUG
rnacentral:rRNA from 1 species